UCCAAGGGCAAAGUGAUUGGUAAUAUUUGCUUAUAAAUUCCAUUUGCCCUAACAUUCAAAGAUCAUAUUUACUCUCUGCUUCGUCCGCCGCUCUCUCUCCCAAAUUCAACUUUUCUCUUGCUCGAAGAUUUUGUGUAACUUGUCAAAAUGAGGGGAAGGAGCUACACACCUUCACCACCAAGAGGUUAUGGUAGAAGAAGAAGGAGCCCUCCGAGAGGAGGAGGGCGCUAUGGAAGAGGAGGAGGGAUAGAGGUGAUGCUCCAGCUCCAACCAGCCUGUUAGUGCGCAACCUUCGCCAUGAUUGCAGGCCCGAAGACUUGCGGAGGCCUUUUGGACAAUUUGGGCCGGUUAAAGAUAUUUAUCUGCCUAGGGACUACUACACUGGGUGAGUUCUUCAUCAAUGUUAAAUCUUACCCGUUUUUUUUUACCUCCACCUUCCUUCUCAGGCACUUUCUCCUUCUCUCUCUUGUUCUUUCUCUGGCUCAUUAUUUUUGUCAGCCAGUUUUUCUGCUUCAUUAGUCCUUCCUUGUUCCUUCUCUUGCUCUAUUUCAUUCUUUUGCACUGGUUCCCUUUCUAACUCCUUCUCUUGUUCUGUCUCCGUCCUCUCAUAUGGUAGUUUUACGUAUUACGGCACACACGUCCAAACCAAAAUAUGAACUCGUCAGUUCAAGCCUUUGUCUCUCUUUCAAGAGUUCAGCAGUCCAUCCUUUUAACUGUUGGGUAACACCUUGUCACCAUCUUUUUACAAUGCAAAACCUUGUUCACGUAACAUGCUUGCAUAAACAAAAACUAAUUAUUAAUUUUUGUACAAUUAGAUUUAUAGAUUCAUCUAUUAUGAUAGUUGUAUAAAUUAAAAGUAUGAUAUAAAAAUAAAAUUUUUUUAUAAUGACAUCAUUAUGGUAGAAAAAUGAUAAAACUUACCACUACAAAAAUAGUUGGUACAACAAAUCUCUUAGUCUUGUUAUUCUCCCAAUUUUUAUGUGUAUCAAUCAACUCAGACAUCACAUAUCCACACCAAUUGUAGCUUUUGAUGUUGUCACUAUCAUGUAUGAAGUCAAAAAUUUUAGUCGUCACAUUUUCAUCUACUGAGGUAUUGAUCAAUGCCGUCUCGAUCAAAAUCAUGAAAUUCCACUUAAACCAUUUACCACCGUCCUCGUCCAUGUAUGGUGGUAAGUGGUUUAAGUGAAAUUUCAUGAUUUUGGUCGAGACGACAUUGAUUAAUACUCCAUCAGAUGGAACUGUGAUGUCUAAAAUUUUAGACUUCAUACAUGAUGUUAGACAUCAAAAACUAUAAUUGGUGUGGACAUGUGAUGUCUAAGUUAAUUGAUACACAUAAAAAUUGAGAGGAUAAUAAUGCUAAGAGAUUUGUUGGACCAACUAUUUUUGUAGUGGUAAGUUUGAUCAUUUUUAUAACCAUAAUGAUGUCAUUAUAAAAAAGUUUUGUUUUCAUAUCAAUACUCUUAAUUUAUACGAUUGCCAUAAUAGAUGAAUCUAAUUGUAUAAAAAUUAAUAAUUAGUUUUUGCAGGCAUGUUACGUGGACAAGAUUUUGUAUUGUAAAAAGAUGGUAACAAGGUGUUACCCAACGGUUAAAUGAUGGACAGCUGAACUCUUGAAAGAGAGACAAAGGCUUGAACUGUCGAGUUCAGAUUUUGGUCUUGGACAGAUUUUGGUCUUGGACGUGUGUGCUGCAAUACGUAAAAGCUACCACAUGAGCGGACGGAGACGGAACAAGAGUUGGAGAGGGAACCAGUCAAGAGAAUGAGCAAGAAGAGAAGGAGAGGGAACCAAUGCAAGAGAAUGAACAAGAUCAAGAGAAGUAACAAGAAAUGGCUAAUGAAGCAGAAAAACUGGCGGAGAAAAAUAAUGAGCCAGAGAAGAAGGAGAAUGUACCUGAGAAGGAAGGUGGAGGUAAAAAAAACCGGGUAAGAUUUAAACAUUGAUGAAGAACUCCCUGACGGGGCCAAGGAUAAAAGCAUCAUUACGAGAAAAGGAAAAUUGCGACCCUCUAAAAAUUAUAUCCCAACAAGCUUAUUACAAAUUUGUAUUUUUUCAGUUUAUUCUUUUACAUUGUUAUAAUGGACUUUCGUGGCUAAUGUAGGAUCGCGAUCAAGAGAGUCUAGAGAUAGGAGAUGAAGAGUUUGUUUGUUUGGUUCAUUCAAUUCACCAUUAAAGAUCUCUUUCAUUGAUCAUUUGAAUUUUACGCAUGUCAACAAGAAACACGGAGUUUCAGGAUUUUGUUUA